rnacentral:rRNA from 1 species
GAUGAACGCUGGCGGCGUGCCUAAUACAUGCAAGUCGAGCGAACAGACGAGGAGCUUGCUCCUCUGACGUUAGCGGCGGACGGGUGAGUAACACGUGGAUAACCUACCUAUAAGACUGGGAUAAUUUCGGGAAACCGGAGCUAAUACCGGAUAAUAUAUUGAACCGCAUGGUUCAAUAGUGAAAGACGGUUUUGCUGUCACUUAUAGAUGGAUCCGCGCCGCAUUAGCUAGUUGGUAAGGUAACGGCUUACCAAGGCAACGAUGCGUAGCCGACCUGAGAGGGUGAUCGGCCACACUGGAACUGAGACACGGUCCAGACUCCUACGGGAGGCAGCAGUAGGGAAUCUUCCGCAAUGGGCGAAAGCCUGACGGAGCAACGCCGCGUGAGUGAUGAAGGUCUUCGGAUCGUAAAACUCUGUUAUUAGGGAAGAACAAAUGUGUAAGUAACUAUGCACGUCUUGACGGUACCUAAUCAGAAAGCCACGGCUAACUAUGUG